AUGCUAUUCUGAGCAAGAUCAAGGUGUCGGGAGUCCCAACUGGUAUUAACAACGCACAUUAAGAAAGCUGAAUUCCUACCUCAAACUGACAGGAUGCCACUGUGAGGAAAGUAACCGUGGAGUCCUGCAUAGCACUGAGCAGAGACUGCUCUGAGGAAUCACUUAAAAUCAGCGCUUGAAUAAUUCACCAGCAGUUUACAGCACACCCCGGCUGGUCUCGGUAACCGAUUCUUCACAGCUUCCCUCUGACAAAACAAGAAAGAACAAAGCGUCUCCGUGAGAGAGCACAGUGUGGAGCAGCUCUUCUGACAGUCUGCACUGAGCUCUGAGAACAAAAAUGGCUGGUGGAUUCCACGCAGAGAGGGCAACUGCUUUGAAAACUGAAGGGACACAGAAAAGAAAAGGCAUCAGCCUUUCUUAGCUGCAUAGUCACCUUCGCAGAAAUAAGGAACAGGCAAUAAAGGGUCACAUUCGUCAGAUAAUUUAUUCACAACAAAUAUUUCAACCA